rnacentral:lncRNA from 1 species
GUCUGUGAAGCUGAUGUUUCAUCAGAAUCAGUCUGAGGCUGAAGGUCUGUGGGCUGCCUGGAGAGCUGCUUGUCCACACUGGAAGGUGGCUGAGAAGCUGGGCUUUGGUGGUAGCCUAGCAACGGAUAGACACAAAGAAGUCAGAUGGAGGUGCUUGGGGCAGUGCUGAUGCUCAGGCAAACGCUCCUACAGCAGAGUGAGCGCACAGGUCCUCCUGUGCCUGGAUCCUUGGUCCAAGUCUCCUCACGCGGCUCAACUUUACGUCUGUGUCAGAAGAACGUCAAGACCAAUUGCCACUUCUUUUUUUUCUCAGAGUCCUCACCCAACAUAAGGCUUCCAAGAUGACAGAGAACAGGAGGUUGCGAUGACUACUGUUGAGACCAUUGUCAAGGGAAAGUCCUUUUCUUUUGAAGACCACUUGGAUGCUGACAUUUGCUGGAAGUGCCUAGAUUACUGCGAAGGCUUGGCUGGGUUUAUGGUUGACAAAACAUCUUUUGGUGACAUCAGAAGGGACCUACUGGUGUCCGCGUGGGCAGAAGAGAGUAGUACUACUGCUUUGAGAUAGCCAGUUGAAAGCCAGCACCUGCUUCGGUCCACAGGAAGGCAAACUAGCUCCCAUCACACAGGCUAAUGCUUUGUUCUUAGUUGAAAUCUAUACCAAGACUGCUGAGCAUCCUGGAUUCUCCAACUGGGCUGCCACAGGCAGAUUCUGGCUCAGCAUCUCAAUAUGGCAGAGAUCUUCUUCACUGCACAUGUACCCACUGGGAGGACUCAAACCUGGUAUUUCAGAACUCAGGAGAAAAAUUCACACUUUGCAUUUCUCACUGUCACAUGGAGGAGACUGUGACAAGGCCAGCUCUAGUGGCACAGGAUCAUAUGUACAAAUGGAUAUUCUUGAUAAACUUAUAGAAGUGAUGGCACAGACCCAAAGUUCCAAGCACUCCUCACUCUACCCUCAGAAGAUGCAAAGAUGAGUCCAUGCUCCAACUGAUCGCAUCUGGAUUCUAGAGUGUUCUUGAGUGUGUGAAGCUUCAAAGGAAGGAUGUUAAUGUGCUUCGAGGCAGAGGUCAGGAUGUACCUGAAGAAAGGCCUCAUACCAAAAGGUGGAUGUGAUAAGAGACCCAUUAACCAGUAGCAGAGGUCACGUGGCUUGUGUAAAGAGGAGACAUCUGGACCACGCAUGCCCAUUUUAUCACUGGACACCUUUGCAGAGAUUAUGGGGAUGAUCCAGUAACACUGCUUUUGGUUUAUGUGCCCAGGUCCUGGCCCAUUGUGGACGCUCAAUUUGGCUAACAGAAGCCACGGACAGAUAAAUCACCAGCAGCCUGGUGCUUUGGCAGACAUAUUUUGGCGUCUCUGGUCAACCUUGUGGAAAAGGGAGUUCGUGCGUGGAGAGAACUUUGGAUGCUGUCAGAAGCAGCCCUCUACGGAUGUCCAGCCAUUCUGAGGCUGUGACCACUUCUAGGCAGAGACUUCUAGAGACUUCUGGCAUAGCUCCUGGAAUUCAGUGGAUUUUCAAGACAUACUUAUAUUUAAUGAAUUAACAAUAAAAGGAGAAGUAAGGACAAAAACUGUUACAUUUUACUUAUCUGACUCCAAGGAGACAUAGGAUUCCUGAAUUCUUUUUUAAAAAAUACUUUGCUUACUGGCAUGGUGGCACACACUUUUAAUACCAGCACUUGGGAGAAAGAGGCAGGCAGAACUCUGAAGCCAGCCUGGUCUUCAGAGUGUGUUCUAGAACAUCCAGGGCUACACAGAGAAACCCAGCCUGGAGAAACCAAAAUACAUACAUACAUACAUACAUACAUACAUACAUACAUACAUACAAUAAAAACAGUUUACAAUA